CUUAUGGCUUACAGUGACUUUGUAAUAUUACCAACAUCUUCUACUGGACUUACAACCGAGAUCUCACGUCCCAUUGUGAACUUAAAAGCAAGCAAUAUAAAACACCAACACAACAAUCAAUUAUACUGUCUAUCUGUAUGCCCAUCUAUCUAUUUAUCAAAUGCAGAAAGUACUGCUUAUUUUUAUAAUUUUGUCUUUUUU